rnacentral:rRNA from 1 species
UCAAACUAGGGAUUAGAUACCCCACUAUGCUCAGCCGUAAACUUUAAAUUACACCUCAAUCGCCCGGGGACUACGAGCAAAGCUUAAAACCCAAAGGACUUGACGGUACCCCACAUCCACCUAGAGGAGCCUGUCCUAUAAUCGAUAAUCCCCGUUUAACCUCACCAUUUUUAGCCUAUCAGCCUGUAUACCUCCGUCGUCAGCUUACCACGUGAGCGCAACUCAGUAAGCCCAAUGUCCACACGUCAACACGUCAGGUCAAGGUGCAGUAAAUAAAAUGGGAAGAGAUGGGCUACACUUUCUACUUUAGAACAAACGAAAAACUAUUUAUGAAAUCUAGUUAGAAGGCGGAUUUAGCAGUAAAGAGAAACCAGAGAGUUCUUUUUAACUCGGCACUGGGGUGUGUACACACCGCCCGUCACCCUCUUCACUACCAAAAGAUUAGUACUUAACCAAUUUACAUUAAUUAGAAGAGGUAAGUCGUAACAUGGUAAGUAUACCGGAAGGUGUGCUUGGAAAC